GCUGAAAAUAUUUUCUUUGCCUCUUU
rnacentral:piRNA from 1 species